CAGAUCCAUCCUUCCAGUUGCUCAGAGUGAAUCGCGUUCUCCUGGUUUCCAGGAACCCCACGAGCUCUGUCAUCGGAAAGCAUCUGGAAUCUGCCCACUUCCCUGCCUCUCUGGCCUGGAUGACUGCACGAGACUCCUACGGUUUCCCAUCCACCCCCGCUGCCGUCUGUGCUCCACGCAGCAGUCGAGGGAGCUCCACGCUGCUGGGCUCACAGCCUCCGGCGACUAUCUGAGCAAGGGCUGCCAACAGCCAGCCCCAGCCAGGCUCCUGGAAGCACAGAAACAGGAGCAGACUUGCAAAGGAGGAUAAAGCCCGGACGUGGAGGGCUCGAUGUGGGCUUGGAUUGCUGGAGGGCUGCCACCAACCUUGGGGCGAUCACGUGAACCCAAGGCUAGCCGGCAAGAGGACCUCAUUCCUCCACCACAGACAGCAAGGCAGGCGUAGGCAUGGGGCCCGAGCCCACACCAUCAAAGCCCUGCCCGGGAUUUUGCUGGCACAGUGAAGACAGAAGCACCCUGACCCUCCAAGUUGGAAGUUCCGAGGAGCCCCUGCGCUUGGAACUCCCAGGCCGUCUUUCCCCGAGACUGAAGCCAACACAGGCAGGAUUGAGUUCAGAGUCUGAAUUAGAUGGUGUCUAGUGACAGCCUCUGAACUCCUGGACCCAGCUACACCGGAAGCCACUGUACCCCACAUUUUCUAGGAGUCUGGAGUGGGGUGUGGUGAGGGGAGUUCAAAGAGAUUGGAGAAAUUGUGAAACUCAAAAUCUGCAACAACUUUCCUUCCUGAGGCGCGGCCACUCAGUGUUGGGCAAACUCCUCCCUGCCACCUUCCUCAUCCAGAAGCAGAAAGAACCUUGUAGCCACCCUGCAUGCCUCCUGCUUCAUGGCAGCCUCUCUGUUUUUUCUGGUGAAAAUUAACAGGUGCUCAACUUGCAAACCAGAAAGAAACAUUUCCCACCCUGAAACCGUUUCCUGAGCCGCCCCGCCGAUCCUGGCGGUGUCCAUUCAGCCUGAAACAUGGACUGGGGUCUGACUGUCCUGCGGUCUGAGGCUUCCUCGUGGCCACAGAGCGGGAGUGUUUGCGGGAUGAAUGCGCUCCCUUUUGCUGCGUGGUUCUGAUGGCUGCAGAGGACGCCGUCAUAGGGACACACGGGGAAAGACCCUCAUUUCCAGAACCACCCCUUCGUGCUGGGCCUUUAGGUUGUGGCCAGUCCCUGCACCUAAACCUUCACACCCACGUCUCCUGGAACUGCAGCUCUGCAGCAGCACCCCUGGCAGAUGCUGCCGGUGCCCAGCAUAACCCCUGAAAUCACCAUGCUGGGACCCUGGUCCCUUUUGGCUCUACUGGAGCAGCAGCGGAGGCUGCCCUGAAGGACAGCGAGGCAGUAGAAGGGGCAGACUUCUCCCACCUGGUCCUAAAGGUGGGAGCUGGGGGCUGUCACGGGCUUUGUGCCACCCUAGAGACCUCCCUGUCUGGAGACUCUGAGGGCACGUGGGGCUCCCGAGGGACCCCACCCCACAGGCAGCAGUGGCACCUGCGGCAGGGAGAGUUGCCUGUGGGCUCCCCGCACUGUCCCACGAGUUGUCCGAGGACUGGGGCCUGGGGUUGGGAGGGACACACAGCAGCCGUUGUCUGUGUUGCCAUGACAUGGCAGAGGUUCCAUCCACCAGCACAAGCCACCUGCCCCGGGGAGAUGGUUCUGUUUGUGACAUCUAUCUCAGCCUGAAUCGAAGGCUUCCUACAGCAGAAGCAGACCCAGAGCAAGGGCAUCCUUGAUUCGGGAGGAAGGUGGUGUGCCGAAGGUCACUAGUAGGCACUGUGGACCUGGCCUUUGAGCUUGGACCCCGCCUGGCCCACGAAGCCUCGUGUUGCUUCCCAGGGCCCACAUGUAGGUUCCCGGGGCCUCCAGCUGCACCCUGGAGAAGUGAGGGGGGUUCACUGCAUGGCAUGUGCCAGGUGGAGGGGCUGGUGUGGGACAGGGGGACAGAGCUAGGGGGAAGACCAGCAGAUCCCUAGACACACGGGGUGAGGCUGAGCUGUUCCAGAUGGACAGGACUAAAAGCAAGACAAACAAGAUGGAAAGGCUCAAGACUGGAGCAGCCAGGAAAUUCUGUCCAAGCCGAGUCUCUGGGUUUGCGAGACCUUGCACUCCACCUCACAGGGGUCGUCUGGGUUUGUGGUCUCUGGCCAGGUGGGUGUGGGAGCCUCUCUCCUCCAGCUCAGGCUCGUGCUACACCAGAAAGGGAAGGGCAAGAGCACCCCCUCAACCCAGAAGACCCCCAGAUCAGAUCAAGAGACCACCCAGGCUACAAUCAACUCCGAUGGCGCUUUUAAUCACCCCAGCAGGAAUGGCAACUGUAAACAGACAUUCAACGGCUCCCAGAGACACACACACCUCCCGGGCAAAACUGCGUUUCCAUAAACCUUGUAGAAACAACUCGGAGAGCUGGCUGAAUGAGGGCUGCCUGGACACCAGUGUGCAGGCACCGAGUCCUCAGCAACCCCACACUCAGCCGUCCUGUGAGCCCCAGACCCUGGAACACUCCAGCUGCCUCUCCACUUGUCUGGUGGGAUGUUUCCUCCCGGUGCCCCCAUCACCCCACAUCCCCCGUCUUCUCCCGGGCUCCCGGUGGCUCCCCCAACACUUGCUCUGCUGAUGGGUGUAUUCUCCCCAAGUCUGGCCGUGAAGCCAUCCUGGUUGCCUCGGUUUCCUCUGCUGGCCAGGCAGUCACCAGUGCCUCGGUGGGAAUGCCACUCUCUGCCACCACCCAGCCUGGGCUCAGUGGGACACCUGCACCUCCCCACGUUGCACUCCUCCAGCCCAUUCUCUGGACACUCGGAUGAGAACAAGGCUACUGGUCAUGGGUGUGAGGGCAGGGAUCAGCCUCAGAGACCAUCCCAUCUCUGGAGCGUCCUGAAGCUGCCAAGCAAAGUGCUACCAAAGGGGCGGCCGAGACCAACAGAAAUGUAUUCCCUCUUGGUUCUGAGGCCAGAAACCUGAGCUCAAGGCAUGAGGAGAGCCAGCCCUACUCUGUCAGCUCUAGAAGAGAACCUGUUUCGCGCUUUCCCAGCUUCUGGUGUUGCUGGCAACCAUUGGCAUUCUUGACUUGUGGCUGCACUGCUCCCAUCCCUGCCCCCGGGGUCACGUGGCCUUCUCCCUGGCCUUGCUGUGUGUCCCCUCCUCUUGUAAGACUCCAGUCACUAGGUUUAGGGUCCACACAAAUCUAGUAGGACUUCACCUUGACUUAAUCACAUCUGCAAAGGCUCUUCUUCCAAAUAAGGUCACGUUCCCCAUUUCUGAGUAGAUGUAAGUUGAGGGGGGCCACUAUGUAGCCCAGUGCCAUCCUCCUACAGACCCCAGGAUGGCUGAGGAAUCCAGUCUCAGCUGAGAUGCAUCAGGCUGCUUAGGAUCAGGGCCUGGACCACACUGAGCAGUCACAUUCUCUCCAGAUAUUCUUUCAAGCAUGCUAGUAACAUCUGUUCCUGGCAACCCCAGGUCACUCCCCCACCACCAGUGCUCCUGCUGCCUGGAGAAGAAAAUGCUCCAGACCCCUCCUUCCCAGCCUGCUGGGUUCCCUCCAACCCAGGCCCAGCCCCCUUCUCCAGGAAUUGAUAAGACGCCAUUUCCAGAUACAUUGUUAAGUGGCAAAAGCAGGCGGCAGUACGCAGUGACCCGUCUUUUGCGUAAUAAAGUGUAAAAGUAUGCAUAUGU